UUUGAUCCGGGAAUAUCCGAAUGGGGCAACCCCUUCGACGUUAGUCGAAGAGUUUCCAAUCUUCUACUUGGCUAUUAAUAAGUAGGACGCGGUCUUAACAAAAUAAGAAGACAAGCGUUUAAAGUAUCUUGCGAUGUUAAUAGUCAGAUGGAAAAUUGGGAACUGGGAACCUGUCGAACUGAAACAUCUUAGUAGACAGAGGAAAAGAAAUCAAAUAGAGAUUCCGUAAGUAGCGGCGAGCGAACGCGGAAAAGCCUUAAUUAUUUACAGAUUUAUAUAAUUAGUUGAAUGUCCCUGGAAAGGGCGACCAUAGAGGGUGAUAGUCCUGUAAACGAAAAUUAUAUAAAUUUAUGAAAAUAGUUCGUUCCGACGUUUCGUCGGAAUAGAAAGUAGGUCUAGACACGUGAAAUCUAGACUGAAGAAUCUUGUCUUCGGACGAGAGUAGGUGGAUCAUCAUCUAAGGCUAAAUACUUUUUAUGACCGAUAGUGAACUAGUACCGUGAGGGAAAGGUGAAAAGUACCCCGUAGCGGGGAGUGAAAUAGUACCUGAAACCAUAUACUUACAAGGAGUCAGAGACGUUUGUCAUUUAUGAUAGACGUUCAUGGCGUGCCUUUUGAAGAAUGAGCCAACGAGUUAAUGCUUGUAGUUUGCCGAAGUACUUCUGGUACGAAGGCCAAGCGAAAGCGAGUAGUAAAUCUGCGUUUAUUGCAAGUAUUAGACCCGAAACCGGGUGAUCUAUCCAUGAUCAGGAUGAACCUUACCUAACAGUAAGGGGAGGUCCGAACCCACGUCAGUUACAAAUGGCGGGGAUGAAUUGUGGAUAGGGGAGAAAUUCCAAUCGAACCCGGAGAUAGCUGGUUCUCCUCGAAAUAUAUUUUGGUAUAGCCUCAUGCGCAACCCUGGGGGUAGAGCACUGAAUGGAACGUACAGGAGUAAUCCUGUGCUUCUUAUCAAACUUCGAAUACCAGGCGUUAGGCAUUGGGAGUCAGUCCGUGAGGGCUAAGCUUCAUUGGACAAAAGGGAAACAACCCAGACCGUCAUCUAAGGUCCCUAAAUUGUAGCUAAGUGGGAAAGGAAGUGUUUAAGCUCAGACAACUAGGAGGUUGGCUUAGAAGCAGCCAUCCUUUAAAGAAAGCGUAACAGCUCACUAGUCAAGGUUGAAUGCGCCGAAAAUUUAACGGGGCUAAAGCUACAUACCGAAGAUACGGGAAUCGUGCAUGGCAUAGAGUUUUUAAUAUUUUUAAAGACUGUGUGCUGUGUGCGGUUCGGUAGAGGAGCGUUCUAAAUGCGCUGAAGCCAAAGAUGUAAAUCAUGGUGGAGCGUUUAGAAGUGAGAAUGUUGGCACAAGUACACGAAUUAGGCAGACGAGAAAUCUGCCCACCAAAAAUCCAAGGUUUCCCGGGCAACGAUAAUCGGCCCGGGGUUAGUCGGUCCUAACCUAUUUUAAUGGGGAUGGCCAGCAGGUUGAUAUUCCUGCACUUUCAAAAACUUACCUUUAUCCGACUCUUUUUCAAGCUUGAUAGCUCAUAUGGUUAUGGUCUAUUGGGGGCGAAAGAGACAAGAAAAAGAUAAAGUCAAUUAUUUUUGGAAACCGUACCGCAAACCGACGCAGGUGGAUGGGGUGAGAAUCCUAAGGUGAUCGAGCGAACCCUCGUUAAGGAACUCGGCAAAAAAGCGUCCGUAACUUCGGGAUAAGGGCUGCCCACAACUCGCAAGAGUGGGUGGGCCGCAGCAAACGUUUUUCAGGCGACUGUUUACCAAAAACACAGGUCUCUGCAAACCCAUCGUGGGGAAGUAUAGGGGCUGACGCCUGUCCAGUGCUAGAAGGUUAUGGGAAUAGUUGAUUUUAUCUUCGGAUAAAUGAGGCUUGAACUUAAGCCCUAGUGAACGACAGCGAUAACUAUAAUCGUUCUAAGGUAGCGAAAUUCCUUGUCGGGUAAGUUCCGACCCGCAUCAAUGGCGUAACGGUCUGAAAACUGUCUCAACGAGGGCCUCGGUGAAAAUACACUACCGGUAAAGAUGCCGGUUACCCGCAGCUAGACGAAAAGACCCCGUGAAGCUUUACUAUACCCUGAUAUUGAGUUUAUAUUAUGAAUGUAUAGAAUAAGUGGGAGCUAAGGCAACAAUGUAAUACCACUCUUUUGUAAUGUGAAUUCUAACCCCGCAAUAUGUGGGGGAAAGUGUCAGGCGGGUAGUUUAACUGGGGCGGUUGACUCUAAAACAGUAACGGAGUCGUACAAAGGUAUCCUAGCUUCGUUUGGAAAUCGAAGUGAUAGUGCAAACGCAUAAGGAUGCUUAACUGCAAGACCUACAAGUCGAGCAGGGACGAAAGUCGGUGUUAGUGAUCCGGUCCGCUUGAAUGACAGACGGACCGCUCAACGGAUAAAAGCUACUCCGGGGAUAACAGGCUCGUCUUCCCCAAUAGUUCACAUAGACGGGAAGGUUCGGCACCUCGAUGUCGGCUCAUCCUAUCCUGGGACUGAAGCAGGCCCCAAGGGUUUGGCUGUUCGCCAAUUAAAAGGGUACGCGAGCUGGGUUCAGAACGUCGUGAGACAGUUCGGUCUUAAUCUGCUGUGGGCGUUAGAAUAUUGAGAGGGGUUCUUCCUAGUACGAGAGGACCGGAAGGAACAAACCUCUGGUAUACCAGUUGUACGAUUCUCGUGCAGUGCUGGGUCGCCAAGUUUGGUGUGGAUAAGCGCUGAAAGCAUCUAAGCGCGAAGCCAGCCUCAAGAUUAAUAUUCAUAGAUCCCCGAAAGACUAUCGGGUUGAUAGGCUUCAGGUGUAAGUUCCGCAAGGAAUUCAGCCGUGAAGUACUAAUAGAUCAUUGAUGGUUGA
rnacentral:rRNA from 1 species